GGGUCAGUAGGUUGGUCGUGCCACCGGUACGUGCUGGUCUCACUGAUUCCUCCUUCCUGAAGAACCGUAAUGCCAUUAAUUUGGUGUUGCGGGGAAACAGGACUGUUACUUUGAAAAAAUUAGAGUGUUUAAAGCAAGCUAACGCUUGAAUACAUUAGCAUGGAAUAAUGAAAUAGGACGAACGAUCCUAUUUUGUUGGUUUCUAGGAUUGACGUAAUGAUUAAUAGGGAUUGUUGUG
rnacentral:rRNA from 1 species